GGGCGUAAAGCGCAUGCAGGCGGUCUGUUAAGUCAGAUGUGAAAGCCCCGGGCUUAACCUGGGAGUGGCAUUUGAGACUGGCAGGCUAGAGUCUUGUAGAGGGGGGUAGAAUUCCAGGUGUAGCGGUGAAAUGCGUAGAGAUCUGGAGGAAUAUCGGUGGCGAAGGCGGCCCCCUGGACAAAGACUGACGCUCANAUACGAAAGCGUGGGUAGCAAACAGGAUUAGAUACCCUGGUAGUCCACGCCGUAAACGAUGUCUACUUGAAGGUUGGGAUCUUGAAUUCUGGCCUUCGGAGCUAACGCGUUAAGUAGACCGCCUGGGGAGUACGGUCGCAAGAUUAAAACUCAAAUGAAUUGACGGGGGCCCGCACGAGCGGUGGAGCAUGUGGUUUAAUUCGAUGCAACGCGAAGAACCUUACCUACUCUUGACAUCCAGAGAAGCCAGCAGANAUGCAGGUGUGCCUUCGGGAACUCUGANACAGGUGCUGCAUGGCUGUCGUCAGCUCGUGUUGUGAAAUGNUUGGGUUAAGUCCCCGCAACGAGCGCAACCCUUAUCCUUGUUUGNCCAGCNACGUAAUGGUGGG
rnacentral:rRNA from 1 species